CAUCUAUCCCUUCGGGUGCCGCAGAACGGCAGAAGUCAAUAAGCUCGGAGCCAUGGCGACGAUGGAGGCGGGAGAUGAGGGAUUCGAGUUCCUAUCAUAUCCGGUUGACAGCUUGGUACUGCGCUCCUUUCUUCUCCACAGGUUUCCCCUACCGGAUCUUGCCGCUGGCGAUUGCAAUGCAUACUGGCCGGCGAAACCAAUCAAACUCUGGUCUGCGUGGCUGCUGAUUCGAGCGUUGGUGAUGUGGUGAUGCAUCGCUGACAGUACAGCUAGAUUUAAAGAGCACUCGCGAGGGGGUGGCCUUGUCCGCACCCAACUCAGAGCAGUCAACUGACAAAGAUGAUCGUCAGGCGCCCGAUUGGACCAAGAGGGUACGCAUUGGACAUUCACCUACCGAACAUCCACCCUGUGCUAGCAGAUUUAGUGCCAUGGCGAAAACAUUGGAAUGUUAUGCAGACAAAAAGGCUGAUACAGUCAUAGUUCCUGCAAUUGGAAGUAAUUUUGAUUCACUGGGAGAAGCAUAUGCCUAUUAACAAUUUGUAUUCCUGGGAAAUUGGGUUCGGAAUUAGGUACAUCAAGAGCAGACUCGACAUCGACAGGACAAAAUGUAUGCAGGAUAUUGGUUGCUCGGGGAUCCCAAAAGGAACACACGAUCUUACCGGUGCUGGUGCCCCGCGAUGAUUUGGUUACUCCGGUUAAACGACAAUGGCUAGUACAUAGGCAUGCAUAAGCCAGCACACGAAAACUCAUUGAUGGAAAAGUAUGGUGUGAAGUUAUAUAUGAAUCAAUCCAGUACAAAGUAGAGGAGAUCAGUAAAGGGGAAAACCUAUUUUAUGCGGUGAUAUCAUCCAGAGAAACACGAGAAGUGGUGCAGGGUUGUGUAUAAAGUGGAAUUUGUUGAGGAGGGGAGGGACCUGAUAUGUGAGUGCUAAUUCUGAGCACACAGGCUUCUUGUGCUGCCAUUUAGUUAAGGUAACGAAAAAACCAUCCCUUCUAACCCAGGUUUCUUUUUGUUGAACACCAUAAUUAAGCGUAGCAGCUAUGUGAUUGCGGGUCCUCGAUUUCCUCAGUAUAGACCAGAUACCAGCAAAGCAUAUUUUGAAAUGUUGGACAAAAGUUGCAAGUAAUGCCAACCACUUGUCACAUCUUCAAAAGGAUAGCAUUUCUGUGAACUCAAUAACAUUCAGGUACUCAAAUCUGUACACACAUGCUCUUGAGGUUGUGAGACUGGGAGAUGCAAACACUGAAUAUUUUGAAGACAACAAUAUUUUGAAGACAACAGUGGAUAAUUUGACACGUAUAGCCGCUGUGCGGGAUGGAAUGGGGUUGGAAGACAAAAUUCAGGCAAACAAGGGGAAAGACAAAGAAGUGUUCCCAGCGUGCGCAACCGACAACAGGUGUGGAAGCGAUGUUGAAGGUAGUGCAAUUGGUAAUUUCGUAGGUCUAAAAGCUCCAGAAUGGAAAGGAAAGACUGGUCGACCAACCACAAGCAGGGAAUAAGCCUCCAUCUGAUGAUCGCGGCGCAAAAAGUAAGAAGUACAAAUGGGCAACAAAUGCACAAGCUGACGGAUGCAGUACAAGUAAACGCACUCGCUUCUUUAGUAUAUGUCGGGAGCCAGGUCACAAGAGCACCACAUGUCCACAGAGAAGUGAUCUUCCUCAAAAAGAAAGAAAAGAGGCAAAAUGUUCAGACUGUGGCGUCGGUGGUCACAGGAAGAACACUUGCAACAAGCCAAAGGUCGUGCUGCAUGUUGUUGAAAAUGCUACUUUAGAGGCAAAUGCAAUUUUUGGGUGACUUCGUUUAGAUUCAGUAUUUAUGUUCUGUGUUGUUGAGGGCUCCAUAGCCGCUAACUGUAAGAUUGUGUUGUUGUAAUAUUAACUACUACAGUUGUUAGUUGUGCUCACUUUGUCACUGGGAUGUGUUUAUCAUCUAAGGAAUUAUGUACGAAGUUACCUACUGUUCACCUUGAAUUUCACUGCGUUUUUAAAAUUUAA